rnacentral:lncRNA from 1 species
AUGUCUUCAUACCGGAGACAAAUUUGCUAGGUUUGAGUCUUCCUGCAUCAUUCACAUAUACUAUUGGAUUUGCAACCCAAUGGUGAUCAUUUUUCCUUAUUGCUACAUACCAGGGACUAUUUUUACUUACAGGCAUAUUAAACGGUUUAUUCGCACAGACUUACACAUGAACUCGCUCAACUUUUUGUUGACUUUUUAAACUACAUGUAUUUCAGGGAAUUAAUUUGGAUCUGGCAAUGAUGCAUGAUUAGCUGCGUACUAAAUAAGGAUGUCAUCCGGAGUCAUAGGUUUGGGAAGUGUAACUCUUUCCUGGACGAGUUGCAUUGUCUCAAGUCCUUGUGUCGUUGGUAGCUUUUCGUCGAGUCUUAUGAACUCAUUUUUUUUAACAAGUCAUGUUUGUAAACGUAUCAUGUGGUUGAUGUUGUUUCAAAACAAUAUGUUAUGCAUUU